rnacentral:lncRNA from 10 species
GACAUUUGGGGAACCCAAGGCCCUGAGAAAGGCAGAAAAAUAACCCACGCAGGGACUCUCAGCCCACAAGUGAAGCUGAGAACCGGGAAUGGAAAACAGGGAGGCAGCACAGAGGCAGGAAACUCAGGUGUCAUAGCUUGGCUCAGCCUCAGGGCUUUUGCCUCUGCUGUUCCUGCAGCUUGGAAUGCACUCCCUCCACCUCCAACCAGAGCUCCCCACAACUGACCCUGCCUUCUUCUGCAAGCUCCAUUUCAUCAAGGGAAACGAUCCUUAUUGCCUCACCAUUUCCCACGUGAAGUCUGUAUUGACAUUCUCAUAGACCUGGGAUAUUGUGUCUGCAGCACAUAGUCCAAUUAUUUUCAUGUUAUCUACUGACAGGUCUAUUUGUCUCCCUGUUACACUGUGAGCUCCGUGAGGGCAGAAACAAUGUUAGUAUUUUCACUGCUGUGUCCCCAGCGCCUGGUCCGGGGCCCGGCACACAGCAGGCAUAUAAUAAGCAUGUGUUGAAUCAAUAAAGGCAUCAAAGAAU